UGGAGAAUUGGACAAGUAGCAAGUACAGCGAUAGUGCAGUCGAGCGGAUUCUUUGAAGCUUGCUUUAAAGAAAUUAGCGGCGGACGGGUGAGUAACACGUGGGCAACCUGCCUGUAAGACUGGGAUAACUUCGGGAAACCGGAGCUAAUACCGGAUAAUAUAAAAGACCUCCUGGUCUUCUAUUGAAAGUUGGUUUCGGCUAACACUUACAGAUGGGCCCGCGGCGCAUUAGCUAGUUGGUGAGGUAAUGGCUCACCAAGGCGACGAUGCGUAGCCGACCUGAGAGGGUGAUCGGCCACACGGGGACUGAGACACGGCCCAAACUCCUACGGGAGGCAGCAGUAGGGAAUCUUCCACAAUGGACGAAAGUCGGAUGGAGCAACGCCCCGUGAGCGAAAAAGGCCUUCGGGUCGUAAAGCUCUGUUUUUUAGGGAAGAC
rnacentral:rRNA from 1 species